AUCCGAUAUCGGAGCAAAGAGUUAUGGUCGAUCUACUUUAGCUUGUCAAAACAGUCCACCAUGGACAGAUUCGGAUUUACUUAAAAUUUUAAGGGCAAUAUGGUCAUUUUCCAUCACCUCAUGGACGAAAAUUGGUCAUUAUAUACAUAUAAUUAGUCUCAUAUCCAUCAAUUAUCAUCAAAUUAUUGAAAAUAAGAAAC
rnacentral:lncRNA from 1 species